rnacentral:rRNA from 1 species
AAUCAACGCUGGCGGCGUGCCUCAGACAUGCAAGUCGAACGAUUAAAGCUCUCUUCGGAGAGUGUAUAGAGUGGCGCACGGGUGAGUAACACGUAAGUAAUCUACCUUCGAGUGGGGAAUAACAUCGGGAAACCGAUGCUAAUACCGCAUAAUGCAGCGGCAUCGCAAGAUGACAGUUGUUAAAGGAGCAAUUCGCUUGAAGAGGAGCUUGCGGCAGAUUAGCUAGUUGGUAAGGUAAUGGCUUACCAAGGCUACGAUCUGUAACCGGUCUAAGAGGACGGUCGGGUCACACUGACACUGAAUAACGGGUCAGACUCCUACGGGAGGCAGCAGUCGGGAAUUUUGGGUCAAUGGGCGAAAGCCUGACCCAGCAACGCCGCGUGAAGGAUGAAGUAUUUCGGUAUGUAAACUU